rnacentral:lncRNA from 1 species
CUAUGUAUACAUUUAUUAAUGGAGUUUAAUUACAAAACUUCCACUGCAAAUGAGACGUGACAGCCAUAAUUAUUAAUGUAUUCGCUUAAUUUAAUAGGAUUAUCACACUAAAUCAACACUUUACCCGUGAUAUAUAUCCAACCCAAGAGACCUUUAUUUGUUGCUUAAUUAAAUGCAUAAUAAUUAAACUCCAUUAAUGUAU